GCUGGGCAUGGUGGCGCAUGCCUGUAAUCCCAGCUACUCAGGAGGCUGAGGAAAGAGAAUCGCUUGAACUCGGGAGGUGGAGGUUGCAGUGAGCCGAGAUUGUGCCACUGCACUCCAGCCUGGGCAACAGAGUGAGAUUUUGUCUCCA
rnacentral:SRP_RNA from 1 species